AUUGAACGCUGGCGGCAGGCCUAACACAUGCAAGUCGAGCGAGCGGCGGACGGGUGAGUAAUGUAUGGGGACUGCCCGAUAGACGGGGAUAACUACUGGAAACGGUAGCUAAUACCGCAUACUAUCGGAUAACCCAUAUGGGAUUAGCUAGUAGGUGAGGUAAUGGCUCACCUAGGCGACGAUCCCUAGCUGGCCUGAGAGGAUGAUCAGCAACACUGUGACUGAGAAACGGCCAAGACUCCGACGGAGGGAGCAUUGGGGAAGAUUGAACAAUGGGCGCAAGCCUGAUGCAGCCAUGCCUCGGGUAUGAAGAAGGCACUAGGGUUGUAAGGUACUUGCAGUCGGGAGGCGUUGCCGACAGAAGAAGCACCGGCUAACUCCGUGCCAGCAGCCGCGGUAAUUC
rnacentral:rRNA from 1 species